AUGGCCGUGGUGACCAGAACGGGAGGCCAAGAUUCCGUUUCACAGGAUCCAUCUGAAUGGACCGUUCAGGAAGGCCAUACUACAAUACUAAACUGCCGUUACACAACAGCAGCAUUAUUUGGAGAAGCUCUCUUUUGGUACAUCCAGUAUCCUGGGGAAGCUCCGAGAUAUUUACUGCAGAGAUACGAUAAGCAGCAAGGUGCCAGAUCCACAGAUUUCACUGACCGAUUUUCUGCUAAUUUGGACAAGGAAAAGAAAACAGUUCCUUUAAAUAUCUCCGAGGCUCAAAUCUCCGACUCUGCUGUCUACUACUGUGCACGGAGCUCCACAUUGACACAGCGAAGCAGCCAGCGUGUGCAAAAACCGGCAAGACACCCUUACGUCUCUUUCUGCAUAAGAUCACUGGGCAGAAUUAUGAAUUGUUAG